rnacentral:misc_RNA from 1 species
CUGAGAUCCCAAAAACAAUCAAAGAUACGUUUUCUAUCUUCAAGAGAUAUUUUUGUACUACAGUUAAAUUUGCAAAUAUCACAUGCCGGUUUAAUAUGUUUAGCAGGUUGGACUUUUCCAUUCCUAGACUGAUGUUCUUUACCUGAAUUUAACAGUAAUUUACGCCUUGUAUCAAUCCACUUGUCUUUAUUUCUCAAUCGCUUCUUCUUUGAUCUAUCAAUACUAAACUGACGUCUUUUUCUACCAUUUAAUGAGGAAGGCGUCGAGCAUUCACUUGAAGCUUCCACUGCCGAAGAAGCAUCACUGGUGUUGAUUGUUGGAGAUGGACAAUUUGAUAAAUUCGAUAGCCUUCCUGAGUUUAAUGAAGAGAUAUUUUGAUUUAACUCUGAUAAUGGACGUGGUGGACUUGAUGUAAAUGAAUUGUAUUCUGAGGGCAACUAAAAAUUUGUAAUUCAGAUCGAGAGUGAACAGGUGUAACCGAUCUAGAGUGUGGCGCAGAAAAG